rnacentral:rRNA from 1 species
UACGAAGGGGCUAGCGUUGUUCGGAAUCACUGGGCGUAAAGGGCGCGUAGGCGGCCUGAUAAGUCGGGGGUGAAAGCCUGUGGCUCAACCACAGAAUUGCCUUCGAUACUGUUAGGCUUGAGACCGGAAGAGGUAAGUGGAACUGCGAGUGUAGAGGUGAAAUUCGUAGAUAUUCGCAAGAACACCAGUGGCGAAGGCGGCUUACUGGUCCGGUUCUGACGCUGAGGCGCGAAAGCGUGGGGAGCAAACAGG